UUACGGCCACAUCAAGCUGAAACACAGAUUCCCGUACAACCACCGAAGUUAAGCAAAGUCGAGUCUGGUUAGUACCUCGAUAGGUAGCAGCUUGAGAAUACCAGAUGCUGUA